ACUUUUAGCCCGACGAACGACCCUCAUCUAAACUUGUAUUGUAAUUUAUCGAAUAUGACUUUAGAGGGGAAAACGCAGUCUUUGUCCUCCAGUUGUUGUGUCUCUGUCCCCAUGAAGGUAAAUCCAUCGGUGUUUUUGCAUCUGUUUGCUUUGCAGCACAGAGGAAAAUCUGACUGGAAGAACGCGGUGUACAGUGGCUGUGUGACCGGAGGAGCCAUAGGCCUUCGCGCUGGUCUCAAAGCCGGAGUCCUCGGAUGCGGAGGAUUUGCUGCGUUCUCUGCUGCCAUCGAAUAUUACUUGCGAUGAGACGAGAGCUUUACGGACAAGAACUUGUUUUCUAUGUGGACUCGCUGCGAGGAAGCCGGGGUACAGAGAGGAACGUCGACGAACGUUGGCUUCAGGGACUCUGCUGGGACCUGAACAGCGCUUGCAGGGGCUGUUCCUGCGUCUCCAGUCACAGAAUGUCAUGGGCAGAGAAACUUCUGCACCCGGGUCCUGAUACCGAGGCCCAGAAACCACUGUUUGGUUACAGGCUCGUUAUAUAAAUUGACAGAAUGUAAUCAAGUAGGAUUAUUUAUAUUAAAGUUGUUCUUUUUCAAGUGGUUCGUUCACUCAGUAAUUUUAACAAUCAGAAAUAUUCCAGUGUCAAUUUUCCUGACUUGGGGAAUUUUCUGAAACAUGCUAUGCCUCUUUCUUUGUCAGUCUGUGUGUUCAAUAUGACGGCACUUUGGGUUGUUGCCAGUAUCAUUGUGCUUCCGAUUAUGAAUUAAAGGAGAUAAGAGGA